ACGACCCCAGGUCAUGCGUACUACCCGCUGAGUUUAAGCAUAUCAAUAAGCAGAGGAAAAGAAACUUAUAAUGAUUCCAUAGUAACGGCGAGCCAACAGGAAACAUCCCAGCCUUAGAAUCGGGCGGCUCCGUCAUCCGAAUUGUAGUCUGGAGAAGCGUCUUCAGUGGCAGACUGAGCCCAAUUCCCUUGGAAGGGGGCACUAGAGAGGGUGAGAUCGCCGGUGUACUCGGACCCUAUUGCACCAUGAGGCAUUUUCGUCGAGUCGGGUUGUUUGGGAAUGCAGCCCAAAUCGGGCAAUGAAUUCCUUCCAAGGUUAAAUAUGGGCGAGAGACCGAUAGCGAACAAGUAUCACGAGGGAAAGAUGAAAAGGACUUUGAAAGUAGAGUAAAAGAGUGCUUGAAAUUGUUGGGAGAGAAGUAGAUGGGGGCCGGCGAUGCACCCCGAUCGAAUGUGGAACGGUGUUGAGUCGGUCCGCCGAUCGACUCGGGGCAUGGACCAGCGUAGAUUGUGGUGGGGGAGGCCUAAGCCCAAGCUUUUGAUAUGCUCGUGUAACGCUAUCUCCUUGAUUGUGGUAGGAAGCACGCGCCUCUGGCGUGCUUUGGUAUCUGCGCGGUUCGGACACUGGCUUGUGAGCUCCCCAUUCGACUCGUCUUGAAACACGGAACAAGGAGUCUCACAUGUAUGCGAGUCAACGGACAAGUAAACCCUUAAGGCGUAAGGAAGCUGAUUGGUGGAUUCCCCUGAGGGGUGCACCGCUGACCGACCUUGAUCUUUUGUGAAGGGUUCUACUGUUGGUAUACCUGUCGGGACCCGACAGAUGGUGAACUAUUCCUGAGCGGAGCGAAGCCAGAGGAAUAUCUGGUGGAGGCUCGCGGCGAUACUAACGUGCAAAUCGUUCGCCUGACUUGGGUAUAGGGGUAAAAGACUAAUCGAAUCGUCUAGUUGUUGGUUCCCUUCGAAGUAUCCCUCAGGAUAGCUGGAGCUCGCGUGCGAGUUCUAUAGGUUUAAGAUAAUGAUUAGAGGCAUCAGGGGUGCCCCACCCUUAACCUAUUCUCAAACAUUAAAUAGGUAUGACGAUAUGAUUGCUUUAUUGAGCCGCAGCAUGGACUCAAGAGCUCUAAGUGGACCAUUUUUGGCAAGUAGAACUGGUGUUUCGGGAUGAAUCAGAAGCUAGGUUACGGUGCCAAACUACGAGCUAACCUAGAUCCCACAAAGGGUGUUGGUCGAGUAAGACAGUAGGACGGUGGUCAUGGAUGUCGAAAUCUGCUAAGGAGUGUGUAACAACUCACAUGCCGAAUCAACUAUCCCUAAAAUUUGAUGGCGCUACACCCGGCCAUUAGGGCAAGUGCCAUGCCCCGAUGAGCAUGGGCGGAGCUGCCGUUGGUGCAGAUCUUGGUGGUAGUAGCAAAUAUUCAAAUAAGAACAUUGAAGGCCGAAGAGGGAAAGGUUCCAUGUGAAUGCCGCUUGCACAUGGGUUAGUAUAUCUUAAGUGUUAGGGGAACCCCGACAGAUUGCGUGUUUUGUGCGUACUCUAAAAGGGAAUCGGGUUAGAAUUCCUGAACCGGGACGUGACGGUUGACGGCAUCGUUAGGAAGUCUGGGUAUGUCGGCGGGGGCCUCGGGAAGAGUUAUAUUUUUUGUUUAAUAGUCUGCUCACCAUGGAAACGAGUCACUCGGAGGUAGGGUCCUGCAGCUGAAGGACCAAUGCACGUCGCGUGGUGUCCGGUGCGCCCCCGGCGGCCCUUGAAAAUCUACAGGACCGAGUACCGUCCAUGCCCUGUCAUACUUAUAACCGCAUUAGGUCUCCAAGGUGUACGACCUCUGGUCGAUGGAACAAUGUAGGCAAGGGAAGUCGGAAAAAUAGAUCUGUAACUUCGGGAAAAAGAUUGGCUCUGAGGGAUGGGCACGGGGGUCCCAGUCCCGAACCCGUUGGCUGUUGGUGGAUUGCUCGAGAUGCUCCCAUGGCAAGAGCGGGUUGUCAUAUGCCGGCCAGGGGAUGGACUGGGAAUGGUUCCUUCAAGUUCCUUCCUAGGGUGUCGAACAUCCAACUCAGAACUGGUACGAACAAGGGUAAUCCGACAGUUUAUUUAAAACAAAUCAUUGCGAUGGUCCUUGAGGAUGUUUAGGCAAUGUGAUUUCUGCCCAGUGCUUUGAAUGCCAAAGUUAAUAAAUUCAACCAAGCGCGAUUAAACGGCGGGAGUAAUUAUGAAUCUCUUAAGGUAGCCAAAUGCCUCGUCAUCUAAUUAGUGAUGCACAUGAAUGUAUUAACGAGAUCCCCACUCUCCCUAUCUACUUUUCAGCAAAACCACAGCUAAGGGAACGGGCCUGGCAAAAUCGGCGGAGAAAGAAGACCCUGUUAUAGCCUGUUUGGCCAAGCUUGUUUUGGGGACAAAAGUGGUUUUUUGGACAAAACAUUGAGGUAUUUUGCCAAGCUUUUUGAUGGAAAAAAAAGUGCUCUUGAGAAGAAGCAGAAGCAGUUUUUGAGAAGCAGAAAAAAGUAGCUUCUUUUCAAAAGAACUUUUCUGAAAAGUACUAUUGAGGAAAAUACACUUAGCAGCAGUUUUCAAAAGCUUGGCGAAACACUAAUUACUGCUCAAAAGUGCUUUUCAAAUUAAUUAGCCAAACACAAACUGCUUCUCACCAAAAGCACUUUUUGAAAAGUACUUUUGAGAAAAGCACUUCUCAAAAUAAGCUAAUUUUAGAAACUUGGCCAAACAGGCUAUUAAGCUUGACUCUAGUCCGACUUUGUGAAAUGAUUUGAGAGGUGUAAUAUAAGUGGGAACCGAAAGGCAAAAGUGAAAUACCAUUGAUUUAAACGUUAUGUUACUUAUUCCGUGAAUCGAAAGCGGGACACUGCCCCUCUUUUUGGUCCCAAGGCUUGGUUGCAGGUUGAUUUGGGCGGAAGAUAUUGUCAGGUGGGGAGCUUAGCUAGGGCGGCACAUCUUUUAAAAGAUAAUGCAUGUGUCCUAUGAUGAGCUCAAAGAGAACAGAAAUCUCAUGUGGAACAGAAGGGUAAAAGCUUAUUUGAUUAUGAUUUCCAGUACGUAUACGAACAGUGAAAGCGUCGCCUAACGAUCCUUUAGACUUUCGAAAUUCGAAGCUAGAGCUGUUAAAAAACUUACCACAGGGAUAACUGGCUUGUGGAAGCCAUGCGUUCAUAGCAACGUUACUUUUUGAUCCUUCGAUGUUGGCUCUUCCUCUCAUUGUGAAGCAGAAUUAACCAAGUGUUGGAUUGUCCAUCCACCAAUAGGGAACGUGAGUUAGGUUUAGACCAUCGUGAUAUAGGUUAGUUUUACCCUACUAAUGACAGCGUCGGAAUAGUAAUUCAACCUAGUAUAAGAGAAACCGUUGAUUCGCACAAUUGGUCAUCGCGUUUGGUUGAAAUGCCAGAAGAGCGAAGCUACCAUGCGCUGGAUUAUGACUAAGUCAGAAUCCGGGCUAGAAGCGAUACAUGCGCCUGCCGUCUGCUUGCCGACCCAUAGUAGGGGCCUUUGGCCCCCAAGGGCACGCGUCAUUGGCUAAGUCAUCGCGAUAGAAGAGCUGCAAUGGCCGCCUU
rnacentral:rRNA from 1 species